AAAGGAAUUGACGGGGGAGCGCACAACCGGUGGAGCAUGUGGUUUAAUUCGAUACGAAGCGAAAGACCUCACCUAGGUUUGACAUGUAACUGCACAUUCUAUGAAAGUAGAACUUCUUCGAGAGUGUUACACAGCUGUUGCAUGGCUGUCGUCAGCUCGUGUCGUGAGACGUCCGCUUAAGUGCGGUAACGAGCGCAACCCCUGCCGCGUGUUAAAUAAUCACGUGGGACUGCCUUACAACAAGUAGGGAGGAAGGAGGGGACGACGUCAAGUCAGCAUGACGCUUACAUCUAGGGCCACACACAUCCUACAAUGGGAAGUAACAACGGGUCGCGACGGGGUAACCCUGAGCCAAUCCUUUAAACCUUCCCUCAGUUCAGAUUGAGGGCUGCAACCCGCCCUCAUGAAGUUGGAAUCGGUAGUAAUCGCAGGUCAGCAGACUGCGGUGAAUACGUUCUCGCUCCUUGUACACACCGCCCGU
rnacentral:rRNA from 1 species